UACAGAGGGGGCAAGCGUUGUUCGGAAUUACUGGGCGUAAAGGGCGCGUAGGCGGCCUGCUAAGUCGAACGUGAAAUCCCUGGGCUCAACCCAGGAACUGCGUCCGAUACUGGUUGGCUUGAAUCCGGGAGAGGGAUGUGGAAUUCCAGGUGUAGCGGUGAAAUGCGUAGAGAUGUGGAGGAACACCGAUGGCGAAGGCAGCCCCCUGGGUUAACACUGACGCUCAGGCACGAAAGCGUGGGGAGCAAACAGG
rnacentral:rRNA from 1 species